GCGGCGGACGGGUGAGUAACGCGUGGAUAACCUGCCCAUUAGACCGGGAUAACGCCGGGAAACUGGUGCUAAUACCGGAUACGCUCACAUUGUCGCAUGACAUAGUGAGGAAAGGUUAGCGUAGCUAUCCGCUAAUGGAUGGGUCCGCGUCCCAUUAGCUUGUUGGUGGGGUAACGGCCUACCAAGGCGACGAUGGGUAGCCGGCCUGAGAGGGCGACCGGCCACACUGGAACUGAGACACGGUCCAGACUCCUACGGGAGGCAGCAGUGGGGAAUCUUCCGCAAUGGGCGCAAGCCUGACGGAGCAACGCCGCGUGAGCGAAGAAGGCCUUCGGGUUGUAAAGCUCUGUCCAGGGGGAAGAAGCAAGUGACGGUACCCUUGGAGGAAGCCCCGGCUAACUACGUGCCAGCAGCCGCGGUAAAACGUAGGGGGCAAGCGUUGUCCGGAAUUACUGGGCGUAAAGGGCGUGUAGGCGGCAAUGCAAGUCAGGAGUGAAACCCGCCG
rnacentral:rRNA from 1 species